rnacentral:rRNA from 1 species
UACGUAGGCAGCGAGCGUUGUUCGGAAUUACUGGGCGUAAAGGGUGUGUAGGCGGUUGUUUAAGUUUGGUGUGAAAUCUCCCGGCUCAACCGGGAGGGUGCGCCGAAUACUGAGGGACUAGAGUAUGGGAUGGGAAAGUGGAAUUCCUGGUGUAGCGGUGAAAUGCGUAGAUAUCAGGAGGAACACCUGUGGUGUAGACGGCUUUCUGGACCAUAACUGACGCUGAGACACGAAAGCGUGGGUAGCAAACGGG